rnacentral:rRNA from 1 species
UACGUAGGGCGCAAGCGUUGUCCGGAAUUAUUGGGCGUAAAGAGCUCGUAGGCGGUUUGUCGCGUCUGCUGUGAAAUCCUCAGGCUCAACUUGGGGCGUGCAGUGGGUACGGGCAGACUAGAGUGCGGUAGGGGAGACUGGAAUUCCUGGUGUAGCGGUGGAAUGCGCAGAUAUCAGGAGGAACACCGGUGGCGAAGGCGGGUCUCUGGGCAGUAACUGACGCUGAGGAGCGAAAGCGUGGGGAGCGAACAGG